rnacentral:lncRNA from 1 species
UUCGAUUUAACAUGUACACGUUAGAACCCCUUUGUAUUUAUAUUUUGUCGCAUGUGUUGUGACAUUAUAUUUUGUUAGAAUACCGUAGGGUAUACCUGAGCUAUAACCACCUGUGGGGGUAUCACAGGCAUGUCCUCUUGGCACCGAGGCAUGACACCUUCCGUGGCGGUGUGAUCAGUCCACGGAGUCUCCGUUUUGUGCUCCGGUGGGAGUUGGCCAUUUGGUGUUUUGUUGUGGGAGGCGUAUGGGUCGACCCUAGUUUUCUAUUCUGUUCUGUUCUGCGGAUUGGUGAUGUUUGUGCCAAACACGCCUUCUGAUUUGCAUGCAUCUGGAUCUGGUUAGUCCGAUGUAUGUUAUGCAUGUGUGGCAUUAUUUUGAUUUGCCUGUGUGGCAUUAUUUGACUUGCCUGUGUGGCAAGAUAUAUUUCUGUUUAUUUUGAGCUCGGUAUGAAAUAACACCCAGCCAUUUGAUUCAGCCUAUUAUUUUGUUGUGUCAGUUUUGUUCAUUUCGUUUCAUUUUAGUUCGUUUUGUUUCAUUUCAUUUCAUUGAGUUAGUUAUUUCGAUUUAUUAUUUUUAUUCUAUAUCCGUACUGGGCAUUUGGCUCAUGUUGUGUUUUUCUUCCGGCAGGUAAUCAGGGGAAUCAAGGGCAAGUGUGACGAGAGCUCCCUUCUAUCCAAUAAUUUUGAUAUAUUUUGUUAGGCUAUGAUACAUCGAUUUAUUUAGAGUUGUAAUAGUUAUUUCAGACUGUUGUUUGAGCCAGUGUGGCAUUUAUUAUGGUUUGUUCUAAGACAUUUAAUCAGUUUGAGAUUAUUCUUUUGUGGAUUAGAGUUUUUCUAUAUAUUCAUCAUUAUGUUAUGUUUUGUGCGUAACCUCUCUUUCUAUUUCAGAAAGGGGGUGUUACAGAGUUGGUAUCAGAGCCAGGUUCUUUCCUGUAGAAAACCUAUUUAGGUUUGACCUGUGAGUUAUGGGUAGACUUCUGGGUUAGGUUUUGUUCUGUUUGAUUUUCUGUUCAGCUAUCAUAACAGCUAUAUUCGAAUCUGUCUCUAAUCUGCUUUGUUAUCUAUUCAUUGAUCUCUUUGUUAGAUGGCUCGUAGAUCCACCAGAGUUGCUGGGAGGCGAGGCAACAAUAGGGGAAUAGUUGAGGGUCAGCCCAAUGAGCAACCUAAUAAUCAGAUAAAUGCUCAAUUGGCUACCUUGGUGAAUCAGGCUGUGAAUCAGGCGUUACCUCAGUUGGUGGCACAGGUUGUACAGGCAAUGCAGCAGUCGCCACCAGAAAUUCCUGAGCAGGAGAACCCGAGAAAUAAUAGUCCACAGGCAAACGAAGAGGAAGGGAAUGCAGAUGGCAUAGAUCAGCAGGUGGUUCCAAUGUAUGUGUGGUUAGAGAGGUUCCAGUAGCAGAAACCACAGACAUUCAGUUCAGCUCCAACUCCAAUUGAUGCAGAGAAUUUGAUUGCCCACUUAGAGAAGAUUUUUGAUGUGUUGGGGUUUUCGGAUAAUCAGAAAGUGUUACUUGCGGCUUACAAGAUGGAAGGGGAUGCACAGAGGUGGUGGAAGGCGGUUAAAGUAACAAAGGGUGAUGGAUUGGGACACUUAGCUGGGCAGAAUUUUGUGAGGUCUUUUAUCAGCAAUAUUUUCCUACUGCUGAUAAAGAGGCCUAUGCUAGAGAGUAUCUGUCGAUUCGGAAGAAAGAUGAUGAGUCCAUCACAGACUUCAUGACGAGGUUUACUAGGUUGAAAGGCUUUACGGGAACCUCAGCAGGGACUGCAGCAGAACAGGCAGAGAAGUUUAGGUGGAGGAUCCAUUACAGGUAUCGGCAACAUCUCAUUAACACCAAGUUUGCAGAUGUGUCAGUAGUGGCCAAUGCUGCAAAGAAUAUUAAGAUGGAGAGACAUGACUUUCUGUCUUUUAAACUGGAAGGGAGUCGAAAGAGGGAUAGAGAUGACCACCAGGGUCAAACUUCGGGUCAGCAUGGGAAGAAUCAGGGUGGUUAAUGGACUAGGAACCGUGGUGGCCAGCAGGGGCAGUUGUGUGGCCAGAAUCAAAACAGGGGUUAUCAGCAGAUGCCUCAGCUAGGGCAGAAUCGUCAGCUUCAACUACCUUAGCAUGGUCAGAAUCGUCAACCGUGGCAGAAUCAUCAACAAGGGCAGAAGUAGGGUCGUUAUCCAGGACCAGCUGGUGGGGGUAACCUAAAUCUUAUUCCGAUAGCUCCUUGUGCUACUUGUGGGGCUAAUCAUUCGGGGAGGUAGUUCCACAGACUCACAGGUGCAUGCUUCUAGUGUGGACAGACGGGUCAUAUUGCUAAGGAUUAUACCGGGCCACGUGGUAAUGGUGGAGGUGGUGAUAAUGGUGGUAAUGGAGGUCAGCGUCAGGGUGGUCAAGUGUUUGCCUUGACGUAUAAUCAGGCAGCAGGUGCACUAGGUACUGUUUCUGGCACUCUUUUAGUUAAAAAUCGUGAGGCGUCUCUUUUGUUUGAUACGGGUUCUACUCAUUCCGUUGUUGCUCAGUCUUUUGUUCGGCACCUGGGUGUGCCAUCUCAGUCUUUAGAUUCUUUUAUGUCUAUUGCUACCCCGGUGCAGACUUUUGUUGUUAUUUCUGAUUUGUAUUGAGGAUGCGCGAUCAGUUUUGGAGAUAAGAUUCAUAGAUCUAAUCUUCUUCCGAUGAGUAUGCAUGAUUUCGAUGUCAUUCUUGGGAUGGACUGGCUGGAUAAGCACCAGGCCACUAUUGAUUGUCAGGCGAAGAAGGUUAUAUUUGGAGAUGUGAAGUCUCCAGAGUUCGUGUUUCAGGGUUCACAGCCUAGUAGGGUGUUGAAGUUGAUUUCAGCUUUGAAGGCUGGGAAGUUGGUAGCAAAGGGUUGUGAGGGGUAUUUGGCAUUUAUGAAAGAUACCUCUAAGGGUGAGUCUCGUAUUGAAGAUGUUCCAAUUGUUCGUGACUUUUCUGAUGUGUUUCCUGAGGAAUUGUCAGGGUUGCCACCACAACGGGAAGUAGAGUUUGCGAUUGAGCUUGUUCCCGGUGAGGAGCCUAUCUAUAAGGCGCCGUAUCGAAUGGCACCGUUGGAGUUGCAGGAGUUGAAGGAACAGUUGCAGGAGUUAUAAGAUCGUGGUGUGAUUCGCCCGAGUGUUUCACCGUGGGGUGCUCCGGUCUUAUUUGUGAAGAAGAAAUAUGGGUCUAUGAGGUUUUGCAUAGACUACAGGGAGUUGAACAAGAUUACCAUCAGGAAUCGGUACCCAUUACCGAGGAUUGCUGACUUAUUUGACCAACUUCAGGGGGCGAAGUAUUUUCGAAGAUAGACUUGAGAUCAGGUUAUCAUCAGUUGAGGGUAAGGGAUGAGGAUAUCCCUAAGACAGCUUUUCGCACUCGAUAUGGGCAUUACGAGUUUCUGGUGAUGCCAUUUGGGUUGACUAACGCUCUAGCGGUGUUUAUGGAUUUGAUGAAUCGGGUGUUCAGGGAGUACUUAGACCAAUUUGUUAUGGCUUUAUUGAUGACAUUUUAGUUUACUCCAAGUCUAAGGAAGAGAACGAGGAACAUCUUCGCAAGGUGUUGGUGAUUUUGCAGAAAGAGAAAUUGUAUGCUAAAUUCUCUAAAUGCGAGUUUUGGUUGGAGCAUGUCGCAUUUUUGGGCCACGUUGUUUCUGCUGAAGGCAUUAAGGUGGAUCCUUUAAAGGUUGAGGCUAUCACUAAAUGGCCAAGACCUACUACAGUGACAGAGAUUAGGAGUUUCUUGGGUUUUCCAGGGUAUUAUAGGAGGUUUGUGGAAGGGUUUUCCUUGCUUGCCUUGCCAUUGACUCAGUUGAUGAGAAAGGGCGUGAAGUUUGUGUGGAAUGAAGAGUGUGAGAAGAGUUUCGAGGAAUUGAAGAAACGACUUGUGACAGCUCUUAUACUUGCAUUGCCGUCGGGGACAAGAGGUUACCAGAUUUAUAGUGAUGCUUCUAAGAAGGGCUUGGGGUGUGUUUUGAUGCAACACGGUAAGGUGAUUGCUUAUGCUUCUAGGCAGCUUAAACCUUACGAGGUGAAUUACCCCACACAUGAUUUGGAGUUGGCAGGGGUGAUCUUUGCCCUAAAGAUUUGGAGGCAUUAUUUGUAUGGAGAGACUUGUAAUAUCUUCACCGAUCACAAGAGUCUUAAAUACAUUUUCACUCAGAAGGAGCUCAAUAUGAGGCAGAGGCGUUGGUUGGAGCUUCUAAAAGAUUAUGAUGCUAGAAUUUAGUAUCACUCGGGGAAGGCAAAUAUGGUUGCAGAUGCUCUUAGCCGAAAGAGUUCACGGAGUGUAUCAGCCUUUAUUACACAACCUCAGCUUAUUUCGGAUAUUGAGCGGCUCUAGUUGGAGUUGUAUGUACGAGGUUCAGAUGGGCAUUUGGCAGGUAUGAGAGUGGAGCCCUCUCUUAUCUCGCGGGUCAAAGAAGCUCAAAAAGAAGAUGGGGAGUUGUGGAGUAUGACGCAUAAUCUAGAGGAGGGCAAGCAACCUGAGUUUUGUAUUGAUGACCAUGGUGUGAUUUGGUUGGGUGAGCGGUUGUGUGUACCGUCCGAUCCAAUCAUUCUGGAGGCGGUAUUGGUAGAGGCUCAUAGUUUGCCAUUUUCUAUUUAUCCAGGUUCUACAAAAAUGUAUAGGGAUUUGAAGAAGACUUUUUGGUGGAAUGGGAUGAAACGAGACGUGGUUGAAUAUGUUGGGAAGUGCCUCACUUGUCAACAAGUGAAGAUAGAACGUCAAUGAGCUAGUGGUUUAAUGCAACAGUUAGACAUUCCAGUGUGGAAGUGGGAGGAUAUCAUGAUAGAUUUUUUGACUAGUUUGCCGAAGACUUUUAAGAAGAAUGAUGCUAUUUGGGUAGUGGUGGACCGACUGACCAAAUCGACACACUUUUUAGCUAUCCACGAGGGUUACUCGGUAAAUAGGUUGGCACAUAUCUUUCAGCAGGAGAUUGUUAGAUUUCAUGGUACUCUGGUGUCUAUUGUUUCACAUCGGGAUCCACGGUUUACUUCACGGUUCUAAAAAGGGUUUCAAAGAGCUUGGGGUACUUGGCUCAACUUCAGUACUUCUUUUCAUCCGUAAACUGAUGGGCAAUCCGAACGGACUAUUCAGACUUUGGAAGAUAUGUUGAGGUCUUGUGCACUUGAAUUGUCGGGUAAUUGGGAUGAUUACUUCAGCCUAGUUGAGUUUGCUUAUAACAACAGCUGGCAUGGAAGUAUUGGGAUGGCUUCGUUUGAGGCAUUGUAUGGUAGAAAGUUUUGGGCACCAACUUGUUGGGAUGAGGUUGGUGAAAGGGCCAUAGAAGGCCCUGAGUUAGUCCAAAUAACUACAGAGAAGGUAACGGUGGCAAAGGAGAAAUUGAAGUCGACUCGAUCACGACAAAAGUUUUAUGUUGAUAAGCAUAAGAGGACUUUAGAGUUUGAACCUGGUGAGCAUGUGUUUCUAAAAGUUUCUCCUUGGAAGGGCAUUCGGCGAUUUGGGUUGAAAGGGAAACUUAGUCCGCGUUAUAUUGGACCAUUUGAGAUUCUGGAGAGGGUUGGUGAGGUUGCAUAUCAGUUAGCUUUGCCUCCACAGCUAGCUCAUGUGCACAAUGUGUUCCAUGUGUCGGUGUUGAGGAGUCAUCAUUAUCAUCCGUUGCACGUAGAGCAAUAUCCAUUCGAUAAGAUUCGGGAGGAUCUUACUUGUGAGGAGCAAGCUGAGGCUAUUUUGGAUCGUCAAGAAAGGAUUAUGAGGAGGAAGACUAUUUCGUUUGUUAAGGUUUUGUGAAAGAAUCAUUCGGAGCGGGAAGCCACUUGGGAGAUGGAAGAGUCUAUUCGAGCAGAGUAUCUGCAUCUUUUUGAUAAUUAGGUACGUUCUAUUCUUUUGAUUCCGGGGACGGAAUUUUUUUUAAGGGGUAGGUGAUGUAAUACCCAGUAAAAUAAUGAAUAAAUAAAUAACAUUUAAAUGCAUAUUUUAAUUUUUCUAAUUGAACUUCAUCUUUUAUUUGGGUCAACUAGUUAUUUAAUUUAUGUGGGCUAAUGUAUUAAUAAGUGAUGGAUAAAAUAAAUUGGUAAAAUUGGGCUUUAAAUUAAGUGGAUCAAAUUUAUAAUUGUGUAAUUUUUAAAAUUCUAUUAAAAUUUGGAGUUUAAAAAAAAUGUAUUUCAAUGAUUAAAAUAUAAAACCUAUAAUGUAUUAAGAACAUCAUUCAUCUAAUAUAAUAAAAAGAGGGGCGGUGCUGCUAAAAAAAAAUAGAAACGAUCUGACCAAGCCGAAGGUUGCUGCGGAAGGAAAAAAAGGUAAUUAUCCCAUUUAAUUUGCUACGAAGUCAAUUGUUUGCAACUUGUAAUCAAGGAAGUUGGUCUUGUGUAGUAAGUUAUUUUAUUAAUUAAUUAAAUAUGGUGAUAGUUGCUUGAGCUAGCAGUAACAGUGAUUCAUAAUGACAAUGAUGGUGUAAUUAUAUAUAUAGGGUACUGUAUAUAUAUAUGUAUGAAUAUAAAUUAGUGGUUUCUUGUUUGUCAGGUAUAUAUAUAUAUAUUGAUAUGGUACGGUUAUAAAUAUAUAUAUAUAUAUAUAUAUAUAUAUAAUAUAAUAUAAACAAUAAUAUAUAUUUAUAUAUAUAUAUUAUUGUUUAUAUUAUAUUAACUAACUUAUGUUAUUUAUAAAUUAAAUUAAAAAUUUUAUAUACUAAUUAAUUAAUUCUAAUGAUAAAAUUAUAAAUUUACUUAAUAAUAAAUUAAAUAAUAGUAUGUUUGUAAUGGCUAGAUUUGUAAUAAAUUUUAUUUUAUUAUUUAUUUAUUAGAUCGGACAGAAGGAAUUUAACGAACUAUAUUGGGAUAAUAAUUUUGGGUAUUGCAUUACUUAAUCCAGGUACGGAUUCCGUACUCCUUCAGCUAUAAUCCUUUUAAUUUUGAUUUGUUCGUUUUGUUUUCGUUUAGAAGUUAGUUAUUGUUUCGCAUGUUUGUUCCUUCUCAAAUCCAUGUGACAGUUUCGUUCUUGGGCAUUGAUAUUUAGAACUCAUAUUUGUACUCUUUAGGAUAUUGUAUCAUGUCUAAAUUUUAUAUUGAUAGUUAUAGUGAUGUGCAUGUUAUUAUAUUUUUAGAGGCUUGUGUUGAGGAUUCGUUCGAUUUAAUAUGUACACUUUAGAACCCCUUUGUAUUGAUAUUUUGUCGCAUGUGUUGUGAUAUUAUAUUAUGUUAGAAUACCGUAGGGUAUACCUGAGCUAUAACCACCCGUGGGGGUACCACAGACAUGUCUUCUUGGCACCGAGGCAUGACACCUUCCGUGGCGGUGUGAUCAGUCCACGGCGUCUCCGUUUUGUGCUUCGGUGGGAGUUGGCCAUUUGGUGUUUU